rnacentral:rRNA from 1 species
UACGUAGGUGGCAAGCGUUGUCCGGAUUUACUGGGCGUAAAGAGCGCGCAGGCGGUCGGAUCAGUCGAAUGUGAAAGCCCCCGGCUCAACUGGGGAGGGUCAUUCGAUACUGAUCGACUCGAAGGCAGGAGAGGGUAGUGGAAUUCCCGGUGUAGUGGUGAAAUGCGUAGAUAUCGGGAGGAACACCAGUGGCGAAGGCGACUACCUGGCCUGUUCUUGACGCUGAGGCGCGAAAGCUAGGGGAGCAAACGGG